rnacentral:rRNA from 1 species
CCUACGGGCGGCAGCAGUGAGGAAUAUUGGUCAAUGGACGGAAGUCUGAACCAGCCAAGCCGCGUGCAGGAAGACGGCUCUACGAGUUGUAAACUGCUUUUGUACAAGAAUAAACCGGAAUACGUGUAUUCAGCUGAAAGUACUGUACGAAUAAGGAUCGGCUAACUCCGUGCCAGCAGCCGCGGUAAUACGGAGGAUCCUAGCGUUAUCCGGAUUUAUUGGGUUUAAAGGGUGCGUAGGCGGAUUGAUAAGUUAGCGGUGAAAUGUCCGGGCUUAACUCGGGAACUGCCUCUAAUACUGUUGGUCUAGAGAGUAGAUGCGGUAGGCGGAAUGUAUGGUGUAGCGGUGAAAUGCUUAGAGAUCAUACAGAACACCGAUUGCGAAGGCAGCUUACCAAUGUAUAUCUGACGUUGAGGCACGAAAGCGUGGGUAGCAAACAGGAUUAGAUACCCGAGUAGUC